CCUAAAAAUAUAAUAAAACAAAAAGAUAAGGAAGAAAGAAUGAAAGAGAGAAUAAGAGAGCAAAGUUAAACAAAAGCUUCCACACCAUAGCUUUAAUUCUCUCCCUUCUCUUCCCUCUUCUCUUCAUCUUUUCUUUCUUUGCCUUUGCCUUUGCCUUUGCCUUUUUUCCUCUUUUCUUUUGCUUUCUUUUGUGUUUUUGGCUCUGGUAUUCCCCAAGUGCAUGCGAUUCUCCACCUUGGUUUUUCCUAAAGACACAUCAAAUUUUUUUGCUUUAUAAAAAGAUAUCAAUCCCACAACCCCAUGGAUUUCUCUUCUGUUCCAAUCUAUUUAGAUCCUCCUCCCAAUUGGCAUCAGCAAUCCAAUCAUCAUCAUCAUCAUCUUCCUCAGGUAAGCAAUAAUAAUGGAUCUCCUCAACACCAACACCAACACCUUCUUUCAUUGCCAACUCAACAACUCUCAUCUGCACCGUCGUCUCAUGUCGGUGGUGUUGGAUCGAUCCGGCGCGGUUCCAUGGCUGACCGAGCUCGGAUGGCUAACGUACCACUACCGGAGACAGCGCUCAAGUGUCCUCGAUGUGAUUCUACCAACACGAAGUUUUGUUACUUUAAUAACUAUAGUCUCUCUCAGCCUCGCCACUUUUGUAAGAGCUGCCGCCGAUAUUGGACUCGUGGGGGUGCCCUAAGGAACGUUCCGGUUGGGGGCGGUUGUCGUAGGAAUAAGAAGAAUAAAACUAGACGAUCGAAGUCUCCGGCGGCGACAGCGGCGGUCGGGAAUGGAAGUCAAGUGAUGAAUAACAAUUCAAACUCACCCACCACUACUACAGUUUCAUUGCACAAUAGUGCUGAGAAUAUUAUUGGUCAUUUACAGCCUCAACAUCCUCAUCUUUCAUUCAUGGCUUCGUUGAAUAAUUUUUCUCGAUACGGAACAACGAGUUUAGGGUUGAAUUUUAACGAGAUCCAGGCUCAAGCUAACGAUAUCGGUAACGGUGCCGUUCUGAAUCUUCAUCCGUGGCGCAGUUCCCAAAACUUUCCUCUGUCAGGUGGCUUAGAAACCCCCUCGGGGUUGUACCCCUUUCAAAUUAGCAGCGGCGGCGAUGGCGACGACAACAACGCAACAAAUUCAAUCUUAACACCAAAUUCAAGAGCAACCCAUUUGCCUCCAGUGAAGAUUGAAGAAACCCAAGUGCUGAAUUUAUUGAAAUCAUCCAAUUUGGGUAUCAAUAAUUCUGAAAACACUCAAUUUUGGAGCAAUGGAAAUGGUUGGACAGAUCUUUCAGCAAUCAGUUCAACUUCAAGUGGCCAUAUUUCUUGUGACUUCAAUCAUUAAAAGCCCCAAUUGAUCAGAUCAUCAUCUUCAAAUUGGCAUCUCUCAGCUCACAGCUUUGUAGCACUCAUCUAGCUCUCUUCAGCCUCUCUCAAAUCUUGAUCAACACUCAGAAACUGUUACAACCUUCAAAAAAGAUCACAUUCUGAUCCUCCAUGGUAGUUUGUGCUCUUCUCUUUAUCUUUCUAUUUUAUACAAAAAGAUUGUGCUUUGUAGAAAUAUUGUUUUUUUCCCCUUUCAAUUUCUUUUUGAGAAUGUGUGUGACUAUGAUUUGGUUAUGUUUGUUGGAUUUAAAUGGAAGAAUAUGGUUUUUUGUUUGUGUAUAAAAUGGAAUGUGAAAUGGUUAAUUAGGACUUGGAACUUGAUUUUAUUUAUAGUUUUAUUCAUAUUCUUGAAGAGUAAUAUAUCAAAAGGAAAAAAAAAAAAAAAAACCCUCUUCUUGUCUAGUUCUAUUGAUAUAUUAUUCAUUUUGUCUUGAAUAAUUUGCAUGGAUUGGCUGCACUUUUGAAUCUAUAUUUUAGAAAGUGGUGUAUUAAUUGAAUUCAUAAUAUUUCUUUAUGUUUCUAACCAAAUUCUCUUAAUUGAUUGAUGUAAAACACACUUGCAAUUGAUUUAACAUUUUAACAAUAUUUGCAUUAUUAUAUAUGUACUACAUUCAAGAACACUGACAAAGUUUGAGAGUAAGACACAUUUUCCAUAGAUCUAAACUAAAUUCUCUUAUAUAUAUAUAUAUAACUAUAUUUAAGCUUUUGCCACUAAGUAUUCUUUAUGAAGGAAGUGAUAAAAUUUUCUAUAAACCCUAAUUUACACUCACUCAUUUCAGUCUUAUAUACUUCCAAAAUUUUAACAGUAUACUUGGAAUUUUCAAGUACAUUACAAACAAAGAUAGCAAUCUCAACAAAAAGAGAGUAAAUUUCUUUGUUAAAUAGAGUUUUGUUAUAAUUAAUUUAUCAUAAUUCCGCAUGUUAAUCUUACGGAUUCAAUUGUAAAUUUAAACAUGAUAUUAGAGUCAGAUAUCGUGUUGAAAAUGUUAUUGGUAUGAAUACAUAUUUUCAAUCAAGAGCUAUAAUAUGUAGCUUUGGGCAGAAAUGUUAAAGUAAAUUAAAUUUAAUUUUGAGUUUUAUAAGGAUUGAAAUAAAACUAUGCAGAAUGGGAUUCGAUCACUCAAAUUUUUAGUACAUUAUUCUCAAUGACACACCUUUUAAUGCAGCUCUGAUUUUGAAGAAAAAACUGUUGACAGACCUCAUUUGAUGCCUUCAAGUCCUUUCAACAACAUCUCUUAUUAUUGGUGUCUUUUGUCUUCAAAUUGUAUGAUACUAAAAAGAAAUGUUUGGAAAAAAACGAAAGAAAACGUAAAUAAUAAAAAAAAAUGUCAUAUAAAUUUAUGUGCUUUGUGUAUUAGUUACGUUUACAGGUAGGGAAGAGAACAAUUUAUUAUUAAAAAAGAAUAUCAGAAAAUACAAAUACAAAAAUAUCAAUCUUUGAUCA